CCAGACUCCUACGGGAGGCAGCAGUGGGGGAUAUUGCACAAUGGGGGGAACCCUGAUGCAGCGACGCCGCGUGGGUGAAGGAGUGCUUCGGCAUGUAAAGCCCUAUCGGCAGGGAAGAAGCAAGACGGUACCCCUUGAAUAAGCCACGGCUAACUACGUGCCAGCAGCCGCGGUAAUACGUAGGUGGCAAGCGUUGUCCGGAUUUACUGGGUGUAAAGGGCGUGCAGCCGGGCCGACAAGUCAGAUGUGAAAUCCGCGGGCUUAACCCGCGAACUGCAUUUGAAACUAUUGGUCUUGAGUACCGGAGAGGUCAUCGGAAUUCCUUGUGUAGCGGUGAAAUGCGUAGAUAUAAGGAAGAACACCAGUGGCGAAGGCGGAUGACUGGACGGCAACUGACGGUGAGGCGCGAAAGCGUGGGGAGCAAACAGGAUUAGAUACCCCCGUAGGA
rnacentral:rRNA from 1 species